GGUAGCGUGGCCGAGUGGUUUAAGGCGCUGGUUUUAGGCACCAGUCAUUUCGAUGACGUGGGUUCGAAUCCCACCGCUGCCA
rnacentral:tRNA from 1 species